rnacentral:misc_RNA from 1 species
AAAAAAAAAAGAAAAAAAAAGGUUGGAAUUGCUGGAGUGAAGAUGGAUGUUGUGUACUGUGGCAGUGUCUAAACUACAAAAAAACAAAAUAAAUAAUAAAAUAUCAGUAUUUAUAUGGUUUACGCUUUCUACAUAGGAUUACAUCCACGAGCAUGCCAUCUUUUACUAUUAAUAAAUAAUAAAUCAUUUAUCACAAGCUCAAAUUAUAUUACCUAUUAAUCCAAUUACACCUAAAAGAUCACUACUACAAGCUGUUUAUCGUAAAUACAUUAGUUAGUUUUCUCAGUCUCUUUUAAACAUAAUGUAAUAUAUUUACUACUACAACUGCUACACUACAAAGAGUGUCUUUAACUGCCAUGGCCUAUAAUCCAUUUCUCUUGUAUUAUGCCUUUUCUCCAUCUUAGGCCUAAGCCUCUUUCCCUGGACAAGGGCCACUCAUCAAUGGGCAAAGCCAAAUCCUCAGUAAUUGGUAAAGUCAAAUCCUUAGUAAUUGGCAAAGUCCUUCUCUGCAUUGGGCAACAGCCUCACUCUAUAAGUUAAAAGUCACUCUCUUCAAUGGGCCAAGCCACUCUUCAUAGUCCAAGUCACUUUUCGUGGGUAAAGUCAAAUAAUAUUUUCACAAUACUCCUAUUUAUACUGUUAAUCCCCUCAAUUCUAAUCUAAUUAGGAGUUUCACUCAAUUUAGGAAUAACACUA